AGAUCGUGCAUUUUCUCACUAUCGAGAGAGGGAUAAAAAGUCAGUGUGAUGAGAAAAUGUCCGAUUUUGUCUUUUGUAAGACAAUAACAGUCUCUACAAAAAUACACAAGUAAUGAGGAAGCUAUUGCACAAGCACUGGAUAUGGCAGAAGGCCAAAGGAAAGCAGCACUGAUCAAACUUGUAGCGUAUUAACAGCAGCUCAUCAAGAGUUUCAACUAAAAAGUUUUCCCAAGGCAAUUCACACCCGGAGAACUGGUUUUGAGGAAAGUUGUGGAUCACAAAAGGGUGCCUGGCGAAGGAAAACUUGGACCUAAUUGGGAAGGUCCAUACAAAGUCACAGUCGUUGCUGGAAAUGGAGCUUACUACCUAGAGGAUCUCAAAGGCAGAGCCAUACCUCGGCCCUAGAAUGUACCAAAUCUCAAGACAUACUAUCAAUAGAAUUAUCUCCUAGCUUCUCUAUCAGAGUGUAAAGACAUUUAUCUUUUGAUCAAUGCAAAUGCCUCCCCACUUCUCUCAAAUUUUUAUCUGACCAGUUUCAU